rnacentral:rRNA from 1 species
UACGGAGGGUGCGAGCGUUGUCCGGAAUCACUGGGCGUAAAGGGCGCGUAGGCGGUUGGGGAAGUCCGUGGUGAAAGCUCGUGGCUCAACUACGAGUCGGCCAUGGAUACUCCUUGACUUGGGCACUGUAGAGGCAGAUGGAAUUCCGGGUGUAGCGGUGGAAUGCGUAGAGAUCCGGAAGAACACCGGUGGCGAAGGCGGUCUGCUGGGCAGUUGCUGACGCUGAGGCGCGAUAGCGUGGGGAGCAAACAGG